AUUGAACGCUGGCGGCAGGCCUAACACAUGCAAGUCGAACGAGUGGGGGACGGGUGAGUAAUGUCUGGGAACUGCCUGAUGGAGGGGGAUAACUACUGGAAACGGUAGCUAAUACCGCAUACUAUCGGAUAACCCAUAUGGGAUUCGCUAGUAGGUGAGGUAAUGGCUCACCUAGGCGACGAUCCCUAGCUGGUCUGAGAGGAUGAUCAGCCACGCUGGGACUGAGACACGUUCCUGACGCCUACGGGGGCAGAAGUGGGGAAUAUUGCACAAUGGGCGCAAGACUGAUGCAGCCAUGCCGCGUGUAUGAAGAAGGCCCUAGGGUUGUAAAGUACUUUCAGUCGGGAGGCGUUACCGACAGAAGAAGCACCGGCUAACUCCGUGCCAGCACCGCGGUAAUUC
rnacentral:rRNA from 1 species